GUGAACGGAGAUGCGUAUGUAAGACCAAGUGGAUGCUCAAUGCCGCAUGGCCUGACCAACAAAGCGGCGAUCGAAACGCGUACCUGUGCUGUCUAUGUCACAACAACGAAAAAAGGAAGUUGGUGGCAUUACCGCCGCUGCGGAUGAGGCACAUUCAACGACGAGGCAAGGAAGGUCACUACCGCUUUCACCGCCCCACACCGUUGGGUCCAGACCGAAAUGAGAAGGUCAACAAAGAGAUUCAGACGCGAGGAGCAAAACAGGGGGACCAUCUGACCAGCAUCUGCGCCCGGGGCGUUUCUCACCGACGCACAAAUCCACCUCCGGAUGUCCGUGACGGGCAUUAUUUUGAUGUUGAUGAGAACACGAAGUAUUGCAGGCGAGAAGCCUUUCAGACUCUUCGCUGCGCCCAUACGACAGUUCCGUUGUCGGUGAUGACACCCGUAAUUUCCCAAGGCAAGGGGGAAGCGCGAAGGUGCAUACCAUGCGAGAGCGCAGUGACAAACGGCCAAGAACCUGUGUGACGGAAUGCGCCGCACACCAGAGUUCCUGUCCAUACAUGGAACCUCAGCUCAGUGUAUCGGCAGAACUAGACCAAAACGAAUUAGUAAUACGACUCGUCAAUCGGAAUUGGUGGCAGGUUCUGGAACGACAUGGUGCUAGCUGAAACAUGUGACGACUCGUCUCGCGAUCAAGGCGACACCAGCGGGCACACAUGGUUGUUGUUUGAUUGAGAGCAUGUGGAGAAACACUCAAACGGUAUUUGUACCAAAAUCGAUAGAAAGAACAUGCCUUUUCCCAUACUGCUUCCUCUGCAUUUUGUGCUUCAAAAGGGGUAGGAUCAGGUUUCGUCACGAAUGUUAUUGGUACGUAUGCUACACGCGCGGUGCCCAGACGUGAUCUGAUCAUGUCCGAGAGCUGCAUGCAGUCGAUGGUACAUUUGGCCAUGUUGAGCGAGGCCGGGGAAACGAGCACCUCCUGAGUCUCAACGAACAAAACAAGAUUCAAAAACUACCUCUCGGCCAACUGUCCGCUGCGAGGGAACGUCCGCCUUCAGGUGUGCUGUCCGUUCUUCCUUCUUUAGUACGCAGAAAUCGCACUCAUGCCGCGCUACUCUGUGUGCCCUUACCAAUCUCCGGGUGGUUCGUACAACGGCGACACUCACGUAGCAGCCUAUCGACAAGAAUCGAUUCUGCUCUACCUCACCGUGAAUCAUGUG
rnacentral:lncRNA from 1 species